GAUGCCUAUCGCGUCUUAAUGCGAUUACAAGUUCAUCUCUUCACCCAGCGAAAUGACCAACGUCGGCUCUUUUGUAGUCUAUUGGCCCUGGUGCGUAAACUCGCAGACGAAUUAGGUUGAUCUGAUUUCCAUGUUCCAGUGAACAAAGUCGACCUGUCCGCAGUUGGAGCAGCAGAGUUGUGGUCUAAGUACCAAAUGAGUGCAAAUGAGCUCGAAUCUGAACUGUGCCCGUGGAAAGAAAUUCUUAUUAAAGUCAUAAAGGCAGCGCGUAAUGGGCACACCAAGAGACAUAAACAGAUCUCGAGGAGGAAUGUGGUAUCACAACCCCCGGCAACUCAUUGGGAACCAAGGAGGCGAAUUACUCGGGCUCACAGAUAGUUUCAAAUAAAUAAUUAAAACAACUGGAAGUUUAAUUAUUAAUUUCAGCUUCAGAAAUCGAGUGAGCAACAUGAAUUAGCAUCGUAAUAAAUGACUCGUGGAUCCGA